AUGUCAGACCGACACAUGGCUGCAAAUGGAGAUAUUCACGUUGGAGAAAGCACGUUUGUUCUCUUUGAGCUACAGGAUUUUGAAUAGAACAGAAAGCUGCAGCCCAAAUAUAUUUCAUGUUUUUAUUCUCUUCAGACUGGUGGAGGGUCAUCAUGGUGUCUGUGGGUUUAGCAGCACUCGUAAUAACUGUUGUGGUGCUCAACAUAUGGAUGAGAACUAAAGGAAACAGAACCCAGAUGGAUGGCAAUGCUGAGCAUCAUGAUGAAGAUGAAGGUACAGUGACCUAUGAAAACGUUGGAGAACCUUCUGUUUCUAUCAGA